CCUACGGGAGACAGCAGUGAGGAAUAUUGGUCAAUGGCCGGAAGGCUGAACCAGCCAUGCCGCGUGAAGGUCAGUGCCCUAUGGGCGUUAAACUUCUUUUGUGCGGGAGCAAUAAUGGUCACGUGUGGCCAGACGAGAGUACCGUACGAAUAAGCAUCGGCUAACUCCGUGCCAGCAGCCGCGGUAAUACGGGGGAUGCAAGCGUUAGCCGGAUUUAUUGGGUUUAAAGGGUGCGUAGGCUGUGAGGUAAGUCAGCGGUGAAAUGCCCCCGCUCAACGGGGUGAAGUGCCAUUGAUACUGCCUGGCUGGAAUGCGGAUGCCGUGGGAGGAAUGUGUGGUGUAGCGGUGAAAUGCAUAGAUAUCACACAGAACACCGAUUGCGAAGGCAUCUCACGAAUCCGCGAUUGACGCUGAUGCACGAAAGCGUGGGUAUCAAACAGGAUUAGAUACCCUAGUAGUC
rnacentral:rRNA from 1 species